rnacentral:rRNA from 1 species
AGGAUGAACGCUAGCGACAGGCUUAACACAUGCAAGUCGAGGGGCAGCAUAAAAGUAGCAAUACGUUGGUGGCGACCGGCGCACGGGUGAGUAACGCGUAUGCGAACCUACCUAUCGAAGAGGGGAAUAACCCGGCGAAAGUCGGACUAAUACCGCAUAAAACAGGGACACCGCAUGGUGAUAUUUGUUAAAGAAAUUCGCUGAUAGAUGGGCAUGCGUUCCAUUAGGUAGUUGGUGAGGUAACGGCUCACCAAGCCGACGAUGGAUAGGGGAACUGAGAGGUUGGUCCCCCACACUGGUACUGAGACACGGACCAGACUCCUACGGGAGGCAGCAGUGAGGAAUAUUGGUCAAUGGGCGAGAGCCUGAACCAGCCAAGUCGCGUGAAGGAAGAAGGAUCUAUGGUUCGUAAACUUCUUUUGCAGGGGAAUAAAGUGCAGGACGUGUCCUGUUUUGUAUGUACCCUGAGAAUAAGGAUCGGCUAACUCCGUGCCAGCCGCCGC